GUUUCAUGCUCAAGCUGAAUAAAGCUACCAGAUUCUAUCUGAUGUUAGAAGCCAAGUAGAGUCAGCCCUGGGUAGUACUUGGAUGGGAAACUACCAAUAAAUACCAGGUGCUGUAAACU
rnacentral:rRNA from 11 species